GACGAACGCUGGCGGCGUGCCUAAUACAUGCAAGUCGAGCGCAGGAAAUCGACGGAACCCUUCGGGGGGAAGUCGAUGGAAUGAGCGGCGGACGGGUGAGUAACACGUAAAGAACCUGCCCUCAGGUCUGGGAUAACCACGAGAAAUCGGGGCUAAUACCGGAUGGGUCAUCGGACCGCAUGGUCCGAGGAUGAAAGGCGCUUCGGCGUCGCCUGGGGAUGGCUUUGCGGUGCAUUAGCUAGUUGGUGGGGUAAUGGCCCACCAAGGCGACGAUGCUUAGCAGACCUGAGAGGGUGAUCGGCCACACUGGGACUGAGACACGGCCCAGACGCCUACGGGAGGCAGCAGUAGGGAAUCUUCCACAAUGGACGAAAGUCUGAUGGAGCAACGCCGCGUGAACGAUGAAGGCCUUCGGGUCGUAAAGUUCUGUUGUAAGGGAAGAACAAGUGCCGCAGGCAAUGGCGGCACCUUGACGGUACCUUGCGAGAAAGCCACGGCUAACUACGUGCCAGCCGCCGCAGUAA
rnacentral:rRNA from 1 species